CUUCAACGAACCGAGCCAGAGCGGCUGAUCCUCCGACCGUUCCUGCCCGUACGUGGCCAGGAGCGCCUGGGCCUC
rnacentral:antisense_RNA from 1 species